GGGUUGCAGGUUGACACUUGGUACAUAGUGGGAAAACCUUGCAACCAUUCUGGAAAGUCAUUGUCCGUAGAUGACCAGACUUAAGUCUGGAAAUCAAAGACUGUUGUUCUCUUGGGAGGACAGAACUUGUCCCUCCUGCUUUACACCCUAAUAUGUGGAGAUAAGAAAGACAACUCACCUCGGGGCUGAGUAAGGUUCUCCACGGAGGUAUGCAGAGUGUGAUCCCGUAUGUAGCAGUGGUCCGGGAGAAUGGAAUCUUCAUGGACCCGACUGUGAGAAUCUAUAUCCCUCUGCAGGAAGAUUAUGUCACAGGUGACACACUUUCCAAGCUCCCAGCUGUUUUUGGACUUCAGCUGGGGACUGGCCCCAGGAGUUACACUCUUCUUUCCUGCUCCCUUCUUUUUCUUCUUGGAGGAUGCUGUGGCCAUCUGGACAGUCAGUUCCUUUGAAAAAUUGCUGAGAAAAAAUUGAACAAGUUUUCUUCUUUCUUAUCUCCAUUCAAUCAUAUUAAGGCAUCAAGCUUGUAAGGCUUGUUGAUGGUGUCUGCCGGGGAAGAAUAGAGCUCAUCAAUGGAUGAAUCAAUUGAACAAGUACUGAGUAAAAAAAGUUUUUUUAGUCAGAAAAUGAUGAUGGCAAUAUUGCUGUAUCAUGCUUGAUUAUCAGAUACAAAAUUAUUUUGGGAAAAAUUCCAUAAAGCAGACCACGGGUGGAGGCAGUUCAUUUUUAGUAUGCAGGAACAAAAUUCUAACAGAGCAAAAAAUUCACUUUUAUCCUUUGAAAAUCAUCCUCUUUAUUAAGGUGUUAAAAGUGAAACCCCGCCUUUGCCGGUCCCAAGCCCGGAUGAAAAAGGAGGAGGGGAGCAGUAACAAGCUCGCUAAAAACCUGGGCUCAGCUGGCCCGGCUGAUAGUACCCUGUAAGGAUUCCUGAUCCAGGGAUACAGGAUGAGCAGCGUUUGUACUCCAUGUUAGGAGCGGCUGAACAUGGCAUCUGUUCCUCAUGUCAGAGGCAGCCAUUUCUUUUGGAGCUAAGUCGGCCUGCCAGUCUUAAUGACAAAGGCAGAUGCAUUCUACUUCACCCAGUCAUGAUGGUUGUCAAACAGACACCAUCAAGGGUCACAACUUGAUACCCUAAUAUGAUGAGAGUGGAGAUAAGAAAGAAGGUGUUAAGUUGUCCCUUUAAGGUUUUUUUUUUAUUAACCACAACUUUCCAAAUAAUUUUUACAUCUUUAAUAUAACCCAUAAUAAUCUGGAAAUAUCUACAAAAUUGAUUCAAAUUUUUAUAUGUUCUUUUCUAAUCUAUGGAUUCAUGUAGCUGUCCGAUGCCACCAAAUUUUAUUUCCCUAUAAUCCCGGAAAAAUUGGACAUUCCAGAAGUAGAUGUUUCGCGUCUUGAAUUUCUCCUCCACAGAAACAUCCCUUCACCGCGCCGAUAGUUGCCAAAAAUUUCCCAAAAUUUCCACGAUCAGUGAUAAAUUAGGUAUUAUAAAAAUCUGGACGGAAAAAAUUUGGAAUUCCAAACAAUAAAAAGCAUCUAAGAAUUUCAUUUGUAUUGACAAAACCUUCAUGACUGAUAAUAGUAAGAAGUGCAUUUUGAAAAUAAAAAUUUGAGCUUUAUAUUUUCACUUCUUAAAUACAUGCUGCACAUGACUGGUACAGAGCAGGAGGGACAAGCACCAGUUGUCCUCCCAAAAGAACAACAGUCUUUGAUUUCCAGACUUAAGUCUGGUCAUCUACGGACAAUGACUUUCCAGAAUAGUGGCAGGGUUUUCCCACUAUGUACUAAGUGUCAACCUGCAACCCCAAAACACAUUAUUGACUGUAUUGACUCAUCCAUUGAUGAGCUCUACUCUUCCCCAGCAGACACCAUCAACAAGCUUUACAAGCUUGAUACCCUGAUAUGAUUCAGUGGAGAUAAGAAAGAAGAAGACACAUUCCCAGCAGACACCAUCAACAAGCUCUACAAGCUUGAUACCCUGAUAUGAUUGAGUGGAGAUAAGAAAGAAGAAGACACAUCCCCAGCAGACACCAUCAACAAGCUCUACAAGCUUGAUACCCUGAUAUGAUUGAGUGGAGAUAAGAAAGAAGAAGAUUUCUUAAAUAUAGAUGGAUCAUUAUUUUAUAAACAUUAAAUUUAUUGGAAUAAAAACGGAAGAAUUUAGUGAAACCUAAUUUGUGUGAAUUGGGUUCAAAUUAAAUAUAUAUAUUUUUUAACUAAUGAAAUACAUCACACACAUUUAUUUUAUUAAGACUAAUAUUGUAGCAAAGUAUUUACACCAAUAUCUCGCUUUGCGUCGUUUUGCGUUUUUUUCAAAGUUGCGUCGCUGCUUAUUUUUUCCUGAUUUUCACUGUGCGUCGUUAGAUUUUCAAAGUUGCGUUGUUUUGGAUUCAAGUCUUUAUAAUUUUUUUAUUUCCCUAAAAAAUGGCAACACCUUUGAUUGCGCCUUCACAUAUUUUCACUUUGCGUCGUUUCAAUUUGCGCAAAGCGAGGUAUGGGUGUAUUAUAUUUUAUUUAUAUACUAGCCGACUGGACCCGGCUUCGCCCGGGUAUUGUUCGAGUGGGGUUUACUCAAGAAUGAAUAGAGCCCUCAACUGUUUUAAAACUUAUAGUUAUGCAUUUUCUUUCAGCACAAUGGAGAUAAACUGCAAAUAGCAAAAUUGAAAAUGCUGGUAAAAAGAAUCUGAAAUAUAAGAUCAAUUUCACAAACACAUCUAAUGAAUAGAGUGCUGUUUUGGAGGAGUGGUCUAAACUGUUGAUUUUUAAAAACCGGGGAUCAUCGAAUCCAGCUUUGGGCACUUUGUUCUGAAAAAAAAAUUCCCCAAUGGCCCCAGAUUCUAAAAAAGUCCAACCCCUCCAGUGAGUGCAAAGUAACCAAACUGGGCUUUGGUAUCUAAAAAAAUGAAAAAAAAAAUCUAAUGAUUAGUGUGAAUUAACACUUUGAGGAACAUUGGUUUCACAACCCAAAUAGCCCUGUGAACCAGGAUAAAACUUGAUUUUUUUAAAAAAUCAUAUUUAUAAAAAUAUAUUACCUUGAACAGUGAAAUUUGAUGCUUGUAUCAAAAUAUGUCUAUAAAACACAAAAAUGCAAUAAAAAAAUAUAUGUUUAUUGGCACUUUUUCAAAAUAAAAAAAUAAAAAAAGAACUAAAAAAAUGCAAACUUCCAAAAAAACGCCACUGUUUGUAAAAAAAAUAAUCAGAGGAAAUUAUUAAAAUUUUUACAUUUAUAUACAUUGUUAUUCCCAGUACUUCAUUUCUGCAUGGUACUUUUCGAAGCACUCUCCAACGCAAAGUGGAAUCUUGCAUUGUUUGCACUCAAAUCUGGUGUCCUUCCGGGCUGCCUUCCCAGUCUUGUGCUUUGCACUAUCUGCACAAACUUUGCACCUUCUUUGCACUGCUUUUCCACUUUCUGGGGCUAUUUUAUAGCAGUAGUGCUUCCCAAGUAGCCUGGCAACAUCAGUUUUCGAAGUUGUUUCUUUUUCAGAGUGUUCAAUGCUUGCCUGAUUGAGCAACUCCCCACCGACAGCCAGAUAGAAGUCCUUCAGACUUAUUUUUUUUAUCAGGAUUUGCUUUAUUGUAAAUGAUGUUGCCAUUUACAAAACAAAGUGAAAAAAGAUGGAAGAAUAUUUUUUUCCACCAUUUCAAUGUUUUCCUGCUAAAAGAAUAAUAUGCCAUCAUCUGAUCGCUCCGGUCCACUCCUACCUUCCCCUUGUUGUAAUCGAUGACAGCAUCAGGCUUGAACAACUCUUCUCUGGUUGGGGUUUUGGGCUUGACUGGCAUCAUUUUACCUUCAUGGACAGUGGAGAGCAUGAAAACAUCUCUAACAUCUUUCCAUUUGAUGGCUAAAAGAUGCUUUCUUCUCAUCUUUAUAAUCUCUCCUCUCUUUAGUUUUUGGGAAAAUUCGGUUUUUGGCAUCGUUUUCCUGGAAGGCAUAACUGUGCCAACAGCUAGGGUCUUUUUUUCCCAAAGUUUAUCAAAUAACUCAGGAGAGGAAAACCACCUAUCAAAAUAUAUAUGAUAGCCUUGUCCAUAAAACCUCUUUGCCAGCCUGUCCACGAGGUUCGGAAUGGAGUUGUGCUCUGGCUGCUCAGGAUCCUUGCCAGUGUAGAUAUCAAGAUUGUAAGCGUAUCCAGAUACAGCUUCACAAAUCUGGAAUAUCUUGAUGCCAUAUUUAUGAGGUUUUCCUUUUAUAUACACUCGAAAACCCACACGUCCUCUGAAUGGACACAUCGCCUCAUCAAUAGUGAGAUUUUGCUGAGGAGUGUAGGCAUUCCCAAAAGAAUAUAUGAGGGAUUCCAAAACUGGUCUUAUUUUGAAGAGUCUGUCAUGCCCUGGUUUUCCAUAUUCAAUGUAUUUUGAAUUGUCAUUCAAAUGUAGCAUUGACAAAAUUCUCAUAAAUAGUGUCCUUGGCAUAUUUAUGGACUGGCAAAAGGCAUUCUUCAGGAAUCCGUGAGUAGACCAGUAGUCUUUCAUCCCAGGCUUCUUCACCAAAGACAUGUGUAUGAUGACACAGAAAAAGAGCUUUAUCUGUGCCACUGACACAGCCUUCCACUUAGCCAGCAUGCCAUGAGGCUUGAGAGGACCCUUCUUGGACUCCCGAUCAAUAAUACUCCUGGCAUAUCGGUUUGUUUCCUCUUUGAUGCUUUUGAAAAUAUUCUCUGUAAAGAAGAGACUGAACGCAUCAAAUGGUGAGGAAACAUCCCCCACUAAAUUUAGUCCAGGGCGGGCGGUGAAAGGGGGAGGAGUUGGGGGCGAGGGAUCAUCUUUCCUCCAGGUGCCGGCGGCAACAUUGGAGCCAGCGGCGGCAGUGGACGUGUCCCGACAUGUCGUCAGCAUGCGAACUGGAGCUACUUCUAAUCGCGGCCGUUUAGCAGGAAUUUCUUCCCUUUCUUCCUCCUCAAAUUCUAAUUCAUCGGAGGCUGAAUUUUCGUAAUCAGGAUCCUUCACUUCAUCAUCAAUUUCUGAGCCAGAAUCGUAAAGAUAUUCAAGAAUAUCUUGAAUGUCUUAAUCUAAAUGAACUUCUGAUCCCAUACCUUUUGAAGUGCUAGGUUGAUCCAAAGGAUUCAUUUCAAUAACGUUAUGAAAUUAGAGGCAGAAUAGCUUAGAAAAAAACGAGCGAAAAGAGAUUAGAGAUAACAAAAACAAACUUGCCUGUUAUCAGUUUGUCAGCGAGCUAGCCAAUGAGAUUGAGCAACAGAUGACUAAUUUUUUUGCCUGCCAACAGUAUCGUCCUGACAUCUAGUGAUCAUUUUUGUAACUAUUCAUGAUAGGCCGAUGAUUUGCCGAAGAGAUUUCUUGACGUAUUGCGUUCUAUGAUUUUCUAUUGAUUUUUUAAAGUGCCGCGACGUAUAAAAACGGGGUUGGUCCGCUAGGCUUAAUAGCUUAUGACGUAUAAAAACGGCGUUGGUCUUCAAAGUGUUAAGGAAAAUGGUCCUCGCAACCUGAAAAUUUCACUUUCUCCCCUUCACUCUCGACUGUACCCCACCAGCGAGUGCAAGUAACCAAACGGGGCUCUGGCACAUUUGUAAGUGCAAAGUCGAACUGCUUUCACAUGUGUAGACAUGUGGUGCGCUUACAGUAAAAAGCAGUCGCUAACUACCCACCAUGAUUAUCAUUGCCUGUACCACGUGUACUAGGGAUAAGCAAAAAAAAAAAAAAAACUCUCGACUGUUCAAGAAGAAACAGCCAGAUUAAACAUUUUUUAGGGCACCUAAUCCGGCACUUACAUCUCUAAAUAGUUAAGAAACUUUUAUAAAUGUAAUAAAUUUGCAAUACUGAAAUACACGGACUUGGAUGAAUUUUUUAUUAGGUUAUUGUUGGCAGUUUUGGAAAAGUGUGGGAAAUUGGAUAUUUUUACAAAAGAAUGCACUUUUUAAAAUGAUAAAUAAAAAAAAAUAGGAAAUUUGCAUCAUUUUCUAAAAGGCAAGGACAAUUUUAAAAAUACCAAAAAUGCAAGACCAAAUAAAAAUAAACGAAUUAUGUGUGAUGUUUCAGUAACAGCAUUGUUACCUUAUUAAGACAAAAUUACUGAAUGUAUUCAGUACUUGUGUCUGAAGAUGGUAACAUCUAAACAUCUUUUAUUUUAAUUUAGCAAAGUGUAGUCGCCACAAGGUUAUCUCCAUGGUAGCCGACGAUCAAUUAACAUAUUUAGUGUAAAUCUAAAUUAGAAUAUUGCAAAUAUUAAAUAUUUCUGACAAGUAAAACACGUUUAAAAAUAACAUUCAUGUGUCACAAUCAAUCUAACCUUUUAAUCUAAUCGCAAACUCUGGUGAAAAAUAAAUUGUUUUUUAUUUUUUAUGAGUACAAAAUUUAAAGUUAAAUCAACACUACAAAAUAAACGUAAACAAGGUAAAGUAAAACUCAAAUUUUGAGUUACCUCUUAUUGUGAUACAGAGUAAAACAUUUCUAUAACUAUAAUUUUGCAUAAAUAUUUUAGCAAAAUAUUUUUAUAUUUUAUGUAUAGAUUAUUUAUUUUAUUUGAAAUGGAGGCGAAUAAAAGUGGUGAUUUUCUUUUAAUGGUAAAGCACAAGCUUUCAGGCAAGAAUGCCCUUCUUCAAGUUACAACUGGGAAAUAUUUUAAAACUAUGGAUAUGAAAGAUAGCCCAAUACAGUAGGUAAAUUAAUAGGUAAUCCCAUAAUAUUAUGUUCGAAUAAAUAAGCUUGAGGGAUGAGUCUCUUUUAAUUACAUUUAUUUCAAGCUUUCGGGCUCAACCGCCCUUCGACAGGACAAAUUAUAUUAGCUACUAAAGUUUUCAAAUCUAAUCUAUAUAAACAUUUGAGAGACGCCUGUGUCUCGAGUGUAAUACGAGGCUUGCUCUCAAAUGUUUAUAUAGAUUAGAUUUGAAAACUUUAGUAGCUAAUAUAAUUUGUCCUGUCGAAGGGCGGUUGAGCCCGAAAGCUUGAAAUAAAUGUAAUUAAAAGAGACUCAUCCCUCAAGCUUAUUUAUUCGAACACAGUAGGUAAAUAUUACAGCUGGGGGGAUUGGCGAGGUAAAACUCGGAAAAUUGGGGUGGGAGGUCGAUUUUUCGGUUAAAACUGGGCGUGCAGUGCGAGACCAAAGAUUCAAGGACUAGGCGCUGAUACUUGUUCCCGAAGCCCUUGUAAACGCAUACAGCGCUGUCCAAAUUGAACGAGUGGCGAAAUUCUGUGAUGUGUUGGCAUAAGAGAGACUUGCGGUCGUUGGUGCGUGCGUAUGUCGAAACUAUUAUAGACGCGUAUGCUUUUUUUGAAAUUAAACAAAUUCUACUGCCCUUACUGCAAUGGAAAAAUUAAAGGGAGGGCCUGGCUCAAAUGUGGUGAACUCUCCCAGAAGUUUCGCCAGUUUAAUUUGCCAUACCGCUGUUAUAUUGCGUUUUUGGAAAUUUCAAUAUAACAGCGGUAUGGUAAAUUAAACUGGCGAAACCGCUGGAGGGUUCACCACUGAUGAGCCCCUCCCUUUAAUUUUUCUAUUGCGGUAAGGACAGUAGAAUUUGUUUAAUUUCAAAAAAAUCAUACGCGUCUAUAAUAGUUUCGAAUAUUCAUACAGAUGGCGCGCUGGGAUGCAUCAUAACAUUAUUUAUUUUGAUUCGCUCCAGGAACCUGGGUUAUAAAUAUAUCUCUCUCUUAUUUUGACAAUAGCGGAUGUACCUGGCUUCGCCUGGGUUUUAUCUGAGUGAAAGUUUGCCUAACGAAUAUUAUUGAAAAUAAUUUUCAGGAACAUAGAAUAUUAUGAUAAUAAUGAUAAUAAUAUUCAUUACAUUAUAUAUAUUUAUAUAAUAUAUAAAAUUUAUUUUUCUAGCAAACAUAUCCACUCUCUCUACUGAAUAGAUUUCUAAAAAGAGAUAUAGAUAUAUAUAUAUAUGUAGUAAUCCCCGAUGUGAAAUGUACUGGGCAGUCGUGGUAGUGGGUGAGUGAUGGGAUUCCCGCACUGGGACAGCAAGAGACAGAGGCAGGUCUAGAUGGUAACUCCAAGAAGGUAGAGGUAGACCAUGGACGAAGGCAGUCGAACCACAGGCGUCACGGAUGCCUACAUCGCGGAUAGGGGUGAGAGACCCGACCGUAUGACGGCGUCGCUCUGAAAACAAUAACUGAACAACUAACUUUGUCCCAUUUCUGGGCUCUUUUAUAUUGGCUGCCCGCAUAUGGCGGAGAGUUCUGAUUGGCUCCCAUAAUCAUGCCACCUGUCAAGCGCCGGGUUGUUUUAUCACGUCUGGCCACCUGUUGACGGGGUGAUUGAACUCAUUAUCAUAAACACCUGUUCGUCUGGCCUUUGUCGUCGUCUAGACUACCUUUACCUCUUUGUUUAUUUGUCACUUUGUUACAAGGUCGAUACAUAUUUUUAUAUAGAGAUGGGGUUAUGAUAAAUAUUAUAAGAAGGUUGUGAUCUAUUUAGCUCAAAAUAUACUACAUAUAUAUAUAUAUAUGGAAGCAAUGGUCGCCUCUCCCGUCAAAAUAAACGUCAGAAACUGACGCCAUCUAUUGACCGUCGCCGCAACUAGCGGGAUCGGGUCGGUGACAAAGCCACAACACCAACUUUGGCAAACUGAUAAGCGUCCACCUAGAGACCAUGGUUUCGGGCUAAUGGCCCUCGUCAGUCUAGGGCGGACUUUAUUCCAUGAGAUCCACACGGGAUCUUAUGGAAUCCUCACAAUCUACCAAAGAGGUGUUUUUGCUGGCAAUGUAGGUAAGCCAAAUCUAU
rnacentral:piRNA from 1 species